CGUUUAGCCCGCGUGGCGCAGUUGGUAAGACUGUUACCCAAGGUAGCACUGUUAGAUGUGCUGUAGGUUCGAAUCCUGCUGCUGACAAGGUCCCAUUUUGGGCCACUUCUUACCCAUGAAGGCCCCCGUGACCAGGGGCCAAGCCUAGUGAGGCAGUGCUGACAGGGGUGCUGCUUGGCAGUGGUGAGGGUGGUGGCUGCUGGAAGCCAUGCUCAUUAGUGCCAAGCAGCCCCUCUGCCACUAGUGCUGAUCUAAGCAAGAUCCAAUGAUUACAGAGGGUUGAGUAUAGGGUGCUUAUACAUACUAGCACCUGCCAAGGCCCCCGGCAUCUAGGGGGCCACUCCAACAACAGGGAAUGAUUUUAAAAACCAUCCAAUUGGCUGCCUCAUCAGAGGGGUAGUAGCAAGCCAAGCAGGACACCCUGGUAGGCGCCCUAUUCAGAGCCCACUAGUGGUCAUCUAACACUAUUAGUGGGUUAUCAUCGGGUGGGGUAAGCCUAUGGUUAGUCCCUUACAUGGGGCAAGGCCACGACGGCUGGUUGGUAGGCCAAGGGGGCAAUGGGC
rnacentral:sRNA from 1 species